GACGAACGCUGGCGGCGUGCUUAACACAUGCAAGUCGAACGGAAAGGCCCUGCUUUUUUGGGGUGCUCGAGUGGCGAACGGGUGAGUAACACGUGAGUAACCUGCCCUUGACUUUGGGAUAACUUCAGGAAACUGGGGCUAAUACCGGAUAGGAGCUCCUGCUUCAUGGUUGUGGUUGGAUAUUUUCGGCGGUUGGGGAUGUUCUCGCGGCUUAUCAGCUUGUUGGUGGGGUAGUUGCUUACCAAGGCUUUGACGGGUAGCCGGCCUGAGAGGGUUACCGGAGACAUUGGGACUGAGAUACGGACCAGAAUGCAACGGGAGGCAGCAGUGGGGAAUAUUGCAAAAUGGGCGGAAGCCUGAUGCAGAAACGCAGCGUGCGGGAUGAAGGCCUUCGGGUUGUAAACAGAUUUGGACUGUGACGAAGAGUGAGUGACGGUAAUGGGUAAAGAAGCACCGGCUAACUACGUG
rnacentral:rRNA from 1 species